rnacentral:rRNA from 1 species
CGAUGGAUGCCGCUGUUUGCGAUAUAUUGUAAAGCGGCCAAGAGAAAUCGUUAAGCAUCCCACCUGGGGAGUACGCCGGCAACGGUGAAACUCAAAGGAAUUGACGGGGGCCCGCACAAGCGGAGGAACAUGUGGUUUAAUUCGAUGAUACGCGAGGAACCUUACCCGGGCUUGAACUGCAGAGGAAGGAUCUAGAGAUAGUGACGCCCUUCGGGGCCUCUGUGGAGGUGCUGCAUGGUUGUCGUCAGCUCGUGCCGUGAGGUGUCGGCUUAAGUGCCAUAACGAGCGCAACCCUUUUCAUUAGUUGCCAUCACGCAAUGGUGGGCACUCUGGUGAUACUGCCACCGUAAGGUGUGAGGAAGGUGGGGAUGACGUCAAAUCAGCACGGCCCUUACGUCCGGGGCUACACACGUGUUACAAUGGGUGGUACAGAGAGUUGAGUGCCGGCAACGUCACUCCAAUCAUGAAAGCCAUCCUCAGUUCGGAUUGGGGUCUGCAACCCGACCCCAUGAAGCUGGAUUCGCUAGUAAUCGCGCAUCAGCCAUGGCGCGGUGAAUACGUUCCCGGGCCUUGUACACACCGCCCGUCAAGCCAUGAAAGCCGGGGGCGCCUGAAGUCCGUGACCGCGAGGGUCGGCCUAGGGUGAAACCGGUGAUUGGGGCUAAGUCGUA